UAUUUAUGGUCUACACAAAGCUUACGAGGAAAAGGUAAGUAGCUGUACAAAGCCGAAGGAUUCUCCGACUUUCGAUGGAUGAAUUGCGUGCCAUAAAAACUUGGGUGCAAGCGUUCACGAGAAAAAUUUCGAUCGAAGUACAGAUUUGUCUUGAAUCAGAGGAUAAUGAUGUUAUAACCAGCUGAUUAAGGAAGGGUUUUGUCAGUAUCCGAUGAUUACAAACUUUUGUUUAGGUAGAGUACAAGAGAACUGCAGCAUCUAAGACAACAUCGACUUUGAAUAAUCUGUAUCCUCAAAAAGGCAACUCAAAUACAGAUAUAUGUCUGCGAAUCUGGCAAUCUUGGGACAUUAAUCGAUAGGUUUGUUUAAGAAGAUUAAAAAGUUAACACACACUUCCAGCAUGAAGCCCAGCCAGUAGCCUCACCUGUCCUGACAUUGUUAGAGUACUGUGUGGGAGUGAAAAGAUAUCAUUUAAAACACGGAUAUGGCUCUAAAAUACUGCAUCGGAGAUGAAUCCAGGUUAUAAAUCUGAGACAAAACAAUAAAGCUUCAUUUGGAGCUAUCGCCGGUAUAUGGCUGAAAUAGUGCCGAUUCGGCGUAAAACAUUAAUCAAUCAAUCAAUCAAUCAAUCAUUUGGAGCUACAUAUGAAAACUUCAGUCGCACUCAUCACUACCUGCGUAGAAUAGAAAACUUCAUAUGACUUUUGAAUCGGUCCUUCAUCUGGCUUGGAAUUUCGGUAGUUUUAGCAUCCUUCAAACAAUAUUUCUUGAAGUACCAAUUUGCAGGUGUAAAAUGUUUGAAACAAUUUUCCUGUCCCAAAUGAAACAACGAAGUAAAUUAUCUGCCAAUUAGCAGUGUCAUGAUGAGUUUAUUGAUGUCACAAUUCUACCGGCAUAGUAUUUGAAGUUGAAUAGUACCAUUUUAAAGAAAAACCUUUCAAAAAACUUCGAAAACAUCAGAUGGAAAGGAGCGUCUACAAGAAAAACAGUGAACACUUUCUUGAAUAUAUAUUAACAGUUACAUAACAUGCCCAUAUACAUCCUUUAUAUAAAGUAAUUAACAACCAAAUCAUAGAGAAUUAUAUACAUA